UUGAAGGUUGGGUAACACUAACUGGAGGACCGAACCGACUAAUGUUGAAAAAUUAGCGGAUGACCUGUGGCUGGGGGUGAAAGGCCAAUCAAACCGGGAGAUAGCUGGUUCUCCCCGAAAGCUAUUUAGGUAGCGCCUCGUGAAUUCAUCUCCGGGGGUAGAGCACUGUUUCGGCUAGGGGGCCAUCCCGGCUUACCAACCCGAUGCAAACUGCGAAUACCGGAGAAUGUUAUCACGGGAGACACACGGCGGGUGCUAACGUCCGUCGUGAAGAGGGAAACAACCCAGACCGCCAGCUAAGGUCCCAAAGUCAUGGUUAAGUGGGAAACGAUGUGGGAAGGCCCAGACAGCCAGGAUGUUGGCUUAGAAGCAGCCAUCAUUUAAAGAAAGCGUAAUAGCUCACUGGUCGAGUCGGCCUGCGCGGAAGAUGUAACGGGGCUAAACCAUGCACCGAAGCUGCGGCAGCGACGCUGAUGCGUUGUUGGGUAGGGGAGCGUUCUGUAAGCCUGCGAAGGUGGCCUGUGAGGG
rnacentral:rRNA from 1 species